rnacentral:misc_RNA from 1 species
GCAACGAGGGCGUUAUCACCGUGGAGGAAGCCAAGAGCCUCGAUACCGAACUCGAGGUGGUCGAAGGCAUGCAGUUCGACCGCGGCUAUGUAUCGCCCUAUUUCGUCACCAAUGCCGAAAAGAUGCGGGUCGAGCUCGAAGAUCCCUAUAUCCUUAUCCACGAAAAAAAGCUGUCCAGCCUGCAGCCAAUGCUGCCGUUGCUCGAAGCCGUCGUGCAGUCCGGCAAACCGCUGCUGGUCGUGGCCGAGGAUAUUGAAGGCGAAGCGCUGGCAACCUUGGUUGUCAACCGGCUGCGCGGCGGCCUGAAAGUCGCGGCCGUGAAG